UGACCGCGAGCUUCGACUCCUCCCAGGAAAUAACGUCGGGGAAGUGGGAGGGAGUGGUCUCGGCCUCGCCCACGAGCAGCCUUCCAGGACUGCCUCGAGCACCAGAGAAACCUGCUUCCUAGGAUCACUGUCCAGGAGACUGCUCAGCGAGAACACCAAAAAACAGAAUCGUGAUUGACUUCACACUGGUGGCCCUGCCCCAUCUUCCCGGGAUGCUCUUCCAUUCUCUCGCCCGUCUGGAACAGCUUUCUCUCAGGGGGAAGUAUCUCUGCAGCGUCUUCAACUGCACUGCAGCUGCCCCCAGAAAAGCUUACACGAGGAAAGUAAAGCUGUUCCUGAAGCUAUAAGCCAGUCAAUUCUUGCACUAAAGGAAGGUCCUUCUCUAAAGAUUUUCAGCUUUUGUCCUUGCUUUUGUUCUUUUUUAAAUUAAUUAAUUUAUUUAUUUUACUUUACAACAUUGUAUUGGUUUUGCCAUACACUGACUUGAAUCUGC